UACGAGGGGGGCAAGCGUUGUUCGGAAUUAUUGGGCGUAAAGGGCGCGUAGGCGGUGCGGUAAGUCGGGUGUGAAAUUUCGAGGCUUAACUUCGAAACUGCAUUCGAUACUGCCGUGCUAGAGGACUGGAGAGGAGACUGGAAUUUACGGUGUAGCGGUGAAAUGCGUAGAUAUCGUAAGGAAGACCAGUGGCGAAGGCGGGUCUCUGGACAGUUCCUGACGCUGAGGCACGAAGGUCAGGGGAGCAAACGGG
rnacentral:rRNA from 1 species